AAGCUCUGUGGGCAUAGUAGUGCACACCUAUAAUCUCAGCACUAGGGAGGCUGAGGCAGGAGGAU
rnacentral:miRNA from 1 species